AUUGAACGCUGGCGGCAUGCCUUACACAUGCAAGUCGAACGGUAACGCGGGGCAACCUGGCGACGAGUGGCGAACGGGUGAGUAAUGUAUCGGAACGUGCCCAGUUGUGGGGGAUAACUGCUCGAAAGAGCAGCUAAUUCCGCAUACGACCUGAGGGUGAAAGCGGGGGAUCGCAAGACCUCGCGCAAUUGGAGCGGCCGAUAUCAGAUUAGGUAGUUGGUGGGGUAAAGGCUCACCAAGCCGACGAUCUGUAGCUGGUCUGAGAGGACGACCAGCCACACUGGGACUGAGACACGGCCCAGACUCCUACGGGAGGCAGCAGUGGGGAAUUUUGGACAAUGGGCGUAAGCCUGAUCCAGCCAUGCCGCGUGCGGGAAGAAGGCCUUCGGGUUGUAAACCGCUUUUGUCAGGGAAGAAAAGGCUCCUGUUAAUACCGGGGGCUCAUGACGGUACCUGAAGAAUAAGCACCGGCUAACUACGUGCCAGCCGCCGCGGUAACAC
rnacentral:rRNA from 1 species